GUUUAAGCAAAGAAGGGCGCAUGGUGGAUGCCUUGGCACGGGCAGGCGAUGAAGGACGUGAUAAGCUGCGAUAAGCUACGGGGAGUUGCAAAUAAGCAUGGAUCCGUGGAUUUCCGAAUGGGGCAACCCGGCACUCGCAAGAGUGUCAUCCUUGGGCUGAAUACAUAGGCUCUUGGAAGCAAACCCGGGGAACUGAAACAUCUAAGUACCCGGAGGAAGAGAAAACAACAGUGAUUCCCCAAGUAGUGGCGAGCGAACGGGGAACAGCCUAAACCGGUGUGGUCUCGGCUACAUCGGGGUCGUAGGGCUUGCAAUAUGGAUCACGCGUCGAAGUGGAAGCUUUCUGGAAAGUGGCACCAUAGAAGGUGAUAGUCCUGUACGCGUAAGACAACUGAUCCUAGCGAUGUCCCUGAGUACCACGGGGUCGGAGAAGCCUUGUGGGAAGCUACCAGCACCAUCUGGUAAGGCUAAAUACUAGUCCGUGACCGAUAGUGAACCAGUACCGUGAGGGAAAGGUGAAAAGAACGCCUAGUCGGCGAGUGAAAUAGUACCUGAAACCAUGCGCCUACAACCAGUCGGAGCCUGUAUUUCCGCGCUUAUGCGCAGAUUGAACGGGUGACGGCGUGCCUUUUGCAUAAUGAGCCUACGAGUUACACCUCACUGGCAAGGUUAAAUGCCUCAGGCAUGGAGCCGUAGCGAAAGCGAGUCUGAACAGGGCGUCAUAGUCAGUGGGGGUAGACGCGAAACCGAGUGAGCUACCUAUGGGCAGGGUGAAGCGUGGGUAAGACCACGUGGAGGCCCGAACCGCAGUACGUUGAAAAGUGCCCGGAUGACCUGUGGGUAGGGGUGAAAGGCCUAUCAAACUCGGAAAUAGCUCGUACUCCCCGAAAUGUAUUUAGGUACAGCGUCGCAACAGUGUAUCGGAGGUAGAGCACUGAUUGGGCUAGGGCCCUUCACCGGGUACCAACCCCAGACAAACUCCGAAUGCCGAUACUACGUUUUGUGGCAGUGAGGGCAUGGGUGCCAAGGUCCAUGUCCGAGAGGGGAACAACCCAGACCGACAGCUAAGGUCCCCAAGUUCAGUCUAAGUUGAUCAAAGGAGGUCGGAUUGCUGAAACAACCAGGAUGUUGGCUUGGAAGCAGCCAUUCAUUUAAAGAGUGCGUAACAGCUCACUGGUCGAGCGAUCUGGCAUCGAAAAUUUGCGGGCAUUAAGACUGGCACCGAAGCUCCGGGUUUCCAAUGGGAAGCGGUAGGGGAGCAUUCCAGCGACGACGAAGCAGCCUCGUGAGAUGCUGUGAAGUUUCUGGAAAAGAAAAUGUAGGCAUGAGUAACGAUAAGACAGGUGAGAAACCUGUCCGCCGUAAGCCUUAGGGUUCCUGUUCAACGUUAAUCGGAACAGGGUUAGUCGGGUCCUAAGCCGAGGCCGAAAGGCGUAGGCGAUGGAAAACGGGUCAAUAUUCCCGUACCACCAGAAAGCGAUAAUGUAAGGCGUGACGCAGAAGCGUAAGGUCCGCGCACAGACGGAUGUGCGUUGAAGUGCGUAGGCUGGACGAGUAGGUAAAUCCGCUUGUCCGUUAAGGCUGAACCACGACAGUAGCGGGAGUCUCCGGACAAACGCAUAGAGGCCCCAAGCAUGCUGCCAAGAAAAGCGUCGUACAUUGCCAAUGGUGCCCGUACCGUAAACCGACACAGGUAGGCGAGGAGAGCAUCCUCAGGCGCUCGAGUGAUCCGUGGCUAAGGAACUAGGCAAAAUUGCUCCGUAACUUCGGGAGAAGGAGCGCCUUCCCUUAUUAAAAGCGAGGGGAGGUCGCAGUGAAAAGACCCAAGCGACUGUUUAACAAAAACACAGCUCUCUGCUAAAUCGCAAGAUGAUGUAUAGGGAGUGACACCUGCCCGGUGCCGGAAGGUUAAGGAAGGGGGUUAGCUGCUUCGGCGGCGAAGCUCACGACUGAAGCCCCGGUAAACGGCGGCCGUAACUAUAACGGUCCUAAGGUAGCGAAAUUCCUUGUCGGGUAAGUUCCGACCUGCACGAAUGGUGCAACGACUUGGGUACUGUCUCGGCCACGGGCUCGGUGAAAUUGUGGUGCCGGUGAAGACGCCGGCUACCCGCGGUGGGACGGAAAGACCCCGUGCACCUUUACUGCAGCUUGAUAUUGACAUUGGUUAAAGUAUGUGUAGGAUAGGCGGGAGGCUACGAAGCUAGGGCGCCAGCCUUGGUGGAGCCACCCUUGAAAUACCGCCCUUGUUUUAAUCGGUGCCUAACCCGCGACCGUAGAUCCGGUUGGGGGACAGUGUCAGGUGGGUAGUUUGACUGGGGCGGUCGCCUCCUAAAAUGUAACGGAGGCUCUCAAAGGUACCUUCAGCAUGGUCGGCAAUCAUGCGUAGAGUGCAAAGGCACAAGGGUGCUUAACUGCGAGACAUACAGGUCGAGCAGGUGCGAAAGCAGGACUUAGUGAUCCGGCGGUUCCUUAUGGAUGGGCCGUCGCUCAAAGGAUAAAAGGUACGCCGGGGAUAACAGGCUAAUCUCCCCCAAGAGUUCACAUCGACGGGGAGGUUUGGCACCUCGAUGUCGGCUCGUCGCAUCCUGGGGCUGAAGAAGGUCCCAAGGGUUGGGCUGUUCGCCCAUUAAAGCGGCACGCGAGCUGGGUUCAGAACGUCGUGAGACAGUUCGGUCCCUAUCUACCGUGGGCGUUGGAGACUUGAGCGGAUCUGCUCCUAGUACGAGAGGACCGGAGUGGACGAACCGCUAGUGUACCUGUUGUGGCGCCAGCUGCAUCGCAGGGUAGCUAUGUUCGGCAGGGAUAAGCGCUGAAAGCAUCUAAGCACGAAGCCCACCGCAAGACUAGGUCUCCCUUAUGGGCCGUUCGAGACGAGGACGUUGAUAGGCGGCAGGUGUAAGCAUGGUAACAUGUUCAGCCGAGCCGUACUAAUUGCCCAUUAGGCUUUUUCCU
rnacentral:rRNA from 1 species